GAUGAACGCUGGCGGAGUGCCUAACACAUGCAAGUCGAGCGGCAGCACGAGUAGUUUACUACUUGGUGGCGAGCGGCGGACGGCUGAGUAACGCGUGGGAACGUGCCCCAAAGUGAGGAAUAACUGCCCGAAAGGGUAGCUAAUGCCGCAUAUGAUCUUCGGAUUAAAGUAUUUAUUACGCUUUGGGAGCGGCCCGCGUCCGAUUAGGUAGUUGGUGAGGUAAAGGCUCACCAAGCCCACGAUCGGUAGCUGGUCUGAGAGGAUGACCAGCCAGACUGGAACUGAGACACGGUCCAGACUCCUACGGGAGGCAGCAGUGAGGAAUCUUCCACAAUGGACGAAAGUCUGAUGGAGCAACUCCGCGUGCAGGAUG
rnacentral:rRNA from 1 species